ensembl:ncRNA K08B5.3 ncRNA
UUCUGACGUUGUGUUGUUUGCCAGUAGGUCGCGGCACUCAUAAAAAAGCUGUUGGAACUCUCGGCGACCUUCUUUUCUUCUGCUCGGCUCCCGGGGGCUCCCAUGUGAGGCGCGCCCCGCGUACCAUAUGA